rnacentral:rRNA from 1 species
CGAUGUCGGCUUAUCACAUCCUGGGGCUGGAGCAGGUCCCAAGGGUCCGGCUGUUCGCCGGUUAAAGUGGUACAUGAGCUGGGUUCAGAACGUCGUGAGACAGUUCGGUCUGUAUCCGUCGUGGGCGUUGGAAGAUUGAGGGGCGUGGACCCUAGUACGAGAGGACCGGGUCGAAUUGCCCUCUCGUGUACCGGCUGUGGUGCCAACUGCAGCGCCGGGUAGCGAGGGCAAGCGCAGAUAACCGCUGAAUGCAUCUAAGUGGGAAGCUGCCCCCAAGAUGAAUCUUCCCUGGAGCUUCGAGCUCCCUAAAGGGCCGGGAGAGACCAUCCCGUCAAGAGGUCACAAGUGGACGUAGUGCAAACUAUUCCAAGCUGAGUGAUCCUCAUCGCCCGUGAGGCUUGAUCUU